GGUUAAGCGACUAAGCGUACACGGUGGAUGCCCUGGCAGUCAGAGGCGAUGAAGGACGUGCUAAUCUGCGAUAAGCGUCGGUAAGGUGAUAUGAACCGUUAUAACCGGCGAUUUCCGAAUGGGGAAACCCAGUGUGUUUCGACACACUAUCAUUAACUGAAUCCAUAGGUUAAUGAGGCGAACCGGGGGAACUGAAACAUCUAAGUACCCCGAGGAAAAGAAAUCAACCGAGAUUCCCCCAGUAGCGGCGAGCGAACGGGGAGCAGCCCAGAGCCUGAAUCAGUGUGUGUGUUAGUGGAAGCGUCUGGAAAGGCGCGCGAUACAGGGUGACAGCCCCGUACACAAAAAUGCACAUACUGUGAGCUCGAUGAGUAGGGCGGGACACGUGGUAUCCUGUCUGAAUAUGGGGGGACCAUCCUCCAAGGCUAAAUACUCCUGACUGACCGAUAGUGAACCAGUACCGUGAGGGAAAGGCGAAAAGAACCCCGGCGAGGGGAGUGAAAAAGAACCUGAAACCGUGUACGUACAAGCAGUGGGAGCCUCUUUUAUGGGGUGACUGCGUACCUUUUGUAUAAUGGGUCAGCGACUUAUAUUCUGUAGCAAGGUUAACCGAAUAGGGGAGCCGAAGGGAAACCGAGUCUUAACCGGGCGUUAAGUUGCAGGGUAUAGACCCGAAACCCGGUGAUCUAGCCAUGGGCAGGUUGAAGGUUGGGUAACACUAACUGGAGGACCGAACCGACUAAUGUUGAAAAAUUAGCGGAUGACUUGUGGCUGGGGGUGAAAGGCCAAUCAAACCGGGAGAUAGCUGGUUCUCCCCGAAAGCUAUUUAGGUAGCGCCUCGUGAAUUCAUCUCCGGGGGUAGAGCACUGUUUCGGCAAGGGGGUCAUCCCGACUUACCAACCCGAUGCAAACUGCGAAUACCGGAGAAUGUUAUCACGGGAGACACACGGCGGGUGCUAACGUCCGUCGUGAAGAGGGAAACAACCCAGACCGCCAGCUAAGGUCCCAAAGUCAUGGUUAAGUGGGAAACGAUGUGGGAAGGCCCAGACAGCCAGGAUGUUGGCUUAGAAGCAGCCAUCAUUUAAAGAAAGCGUAAUAGCUCACUGGUCGAGUCGGCCUGCGCGGAAGAUGUAACGGGGCUAAACCAUGCACCGAAGCUGCGGCAGCGACACUGUGUGUUGUUGGGUAGGGGAGCGUUCUGUAAGCCUGUGAAGGUGUACUGUAAGGUAUGCUGGAGGUAUCAGAAGUGCGAAUGCUGACAUAAGUAACGAUAAAGCGGGUGAAAAGCCCGCUCGCCGGAAGACCAAGGGUUCCUGUCCAACGUUAAUCGGGGCAGGGUGAGUCGACCCCUAAGGCGAGGCCGAAAGGCGUAGUCGAUGGGAAACAGGUUAAUAUUCCUGUACUUGGUGUUACUGCGAAGGGGGGACGGAGAAGGCUAUGUUGGCCGGGCGACGGUUGUCCCGGUUUAAGCGUGUAGGCUGGUUUUCCAGGCAAAUCCGGAAAAUCAAGGCUGAGGCGUGAUGACGAGGCACUACGGUGCUGAAGCAACAAAUGCCCUGCUUCCAGGAAAAGCCUCUAAGCAUCAGGUAACAUCAAAUCGUACCCCAAACCGACACAGGUGGUCAGGUAGAGAAUACCAAGGCGCUUGAGAGAACUCGGGUGAAGGAACUAGGCAAAAUGGUGCCGUAACUUCGGGAGAAGGCACGCUGAUAUGUAGGUGAAGUCCCUCGCGGAUGGAGCUGAAAUCAGUCGAAGAUACCAGCUGGCUGCAACUGUUUAUUAAAAACACAGCACUGUGCAAACACGAAAGUGGACGUAUACGGUGUGACGCCUGCCCGGUGCCGGAAGGUUAAUUGAUGGGGUCAGCGCAAGCGAAGCUCUUGAUCGAAGCCCCGGUAAACGGCGGCCGUAACUAUAACGGUCCUAAGGUAGCGAAAUUCCUUGUCGGGUAAGUUCCGACCUGCACGAAUGGCGUAAUGAUGGCCAGGCUGUCUCCACCCGAGACUCAGUGAAAUUGAACUCGCUGUGAAGAUGCAGUGUACCCGCGGCAAGACGGAAAGACCCCGUGAACCUUUACUAUAGCUUGACACUGAACAUUGAGCCUUGAUGUGUAGGAUAGGUGGGAGGCUUUGAAGUGUGGACGCCAGUCUGCAUGGAGCCGACCUUGAAAUACCACCCUUUAAUGUUUGAUGUUCUAACGUGGACCCGUGAUCCGGGUUGCGGACAGUGUCUGGUGGGUAGUUUGACUGGGGCGGUCUCCUCCUAAAGAGUAACGGAGGAGCACGAAGGUUGGCUAAUCCUGGUCGGACAUCAGGAGGUUAGUGCAAUGGCAUAAGCCAGCUUGACUGCGAGCGUGACGGCGCGAGCAGGUGCGAAAGCAGGUCAUAGUGAUCCGGUGGUUCUGAAUGGAAGGGCCAUCGCUCAACGGAUAAAAGGUACUCCGGGGAUAACAGGCUGAUACCGCCCAAGAGUUCAUAUCGACGGCGGUGUUUGGCACCUCGAUGUCGGCUCAUCACAUCCUGGGGCUGAAGUAGGUCCCAAGGGUAUGGCUGUUCGCCAUUUAAAGUGGUACGCGAGCUGGGUUUAGAACGUCGUGAGACAGUUCGGUCCCUAUCUGCCGUGGGCGCUGGAGAACUGAGGGGGGCUGCUCCUAGUACGAGAGGACCGGAGUGGACGCAUCACUGGUGUUCGGGUUGUCAUGCCAAUGGCACUGCCCGGUAGCUAAAUGCGGAAGAGAUAAGUGCUGAAAGCAUCUAAGCACGAAACUUGCCCCGAGAUGAGUUCUCCCUGACCCUUUAAGGGUCCUGAAGGAACGUUGAAGACGACGACGUUGAUAGGCCGGGUGUGUAAGCGCAGCGAUGCGUUGAGCUAACCGGUACUAAUGAACCGUGAGGCUUAACCUUACAACGCCGAAGGUGUUUUG
rnacentral:rRNA from 3 species